rnacentral:misc_RNA from 1 species
GAUGAAGAACGUAGCGAAACGCGAAAGGUAAUGCGAAUUGCAGAAUCAGUGAAUCAUCGAAUCUUUGAACGCAUAUUGCGCUCUCUGGUAUUCCGGAGAGCAUGCUUGUUUGAGUAUCAGUAAACACCUCAACUUCCAUAUCUUUUUUGAAAUGGGAGUUGGACUUGAGUGAUCCCAACGCUUUUCCUCACCGAAAAGUGGCGGGUUACUUGAAAUGCAGGUGCAGCUGGACUUUUCUCUGAGCUAUAAGCAUAUCUAUUUAGUCUGCCUAAAAAACAGAUUAUUACCUUUGCUGCAGCUAACAUAAAGGAGAUUAGUUCUUGUGCUGACUGAUGCAGGAUUCACAAAGACAGGCUUCGGCCGACUUUGUAAACUCGAUCUCAAAUCAAGUAAGACUACCCGCUGAACUUAAGCAUAUCAAUAAGCGGAGGA